CCUGGCUGGCUGAAAGUUCCUCCAGGUUUUAAUUAAUGCAGAGAGCCCCACUGUCCAGGAAAACUUUAGGUAGAAUAAGUGACUUUCUAGACUUCCUCACCUCAUAAAGGGCCAGAUUUGAGACUUGCUAGGGAAGGGACAGAGCCCAGCCAAGCCGGCUGUCUUCAGGGCAGAAAUCUGAACCACCUCCUAGAGUCCCCUUGGGAAGCUUUAAAAAUGCAUAUUCCUGGGCUGCCCCCAAAUCCGCUCAUUCAGAACCUAUUUGGGACCCAGCAAUGUGUAUUUAACGAUCUCUCUGAUACCAAGUGUGAGUCCAUGCACAACUCUGCAGGGGUAGAGGAGGGGUGUGCUAGGGAUGUAGCUGCAGUCCUGGAUCCUGGGACCCAAGAGAGAAGACUAAAAACACACCAAGAUGCCAAUCCUGAUGGCACAGGGUAGCUCCUGCAGACGCCUCUCUUGAGUUUGCCAGUGGGAGCCUAGUACGGGUCAUGUGGUGUCACCAACACCAUUGGAACUAGAGGCUGCACUGCCAGAAGCAGAUCUGGAUGACAUGGUGCCGAAGGGACACCCGAGCCAGCUAUGGGUCAGACCCAAUCAGAGGUUUCUGGAUUUGAAAACAGCUGAAAAAAAAAUAAAAUUGUUCAAAGACUGAAUAGAAAACCAGAUAAAGACCAGGGUACUCUUGCUGGGGUAGGGGUGAGGGUCUCACUAGCGCAGCUCCUUCUCUUCUUCCCUGCCAUCUUGGAACCCUAAGAUUCCUUGACACACAUGAUGGGAAUCUAGCCCAGGUGCUCACAGAAGUCCUGCUCACAGGAACCUUAAAAUUCUAAUAGGUUCCAGGAAUAAAAGUCCAUCGGGCCCUCCUCGUCCCCUUGGGUGAGGAGUUGAUGGAGGGACUCUGCUACCUCAAAAGUGGUCCAGGCUUCUAGAGGUAGGAAAUUCCCUCAGAGAAGCCCACGAUCAUGUGUUUUUGCUGAAAGGUGUCAUAACAGCAAAAUGAUGACAACAACCUAAAUGUCCAUCAAUAGGGGAUCAGCUAAAUGACCUCGUGUAUAUCUACAUGUUGGAAAAUGAUGAUGCAAUAAAAAAUAAUUCAUUUCUAAAUCCUGCCAAAGAAAUUUCUAUAAUAUGGAAUUAUACAGUGUUACCGUUUGUGGGGUAUAAAUAUAAAUAUCCUCAUCGUUAUGGUUUGAAUGUGAGGUGUCCCCCAAAAGCUUCUGUGUGAGACAAUGCAAGGAGAUUCAGAGGUGAAAUUAUUGGGUUAUGAGAGUCUUAACCCAAUCAGUGAACUAAUCCCCUGAUGGGAUUAACUGAGUGGUAAUUGAGAGCAGUUAGGGUGUGGCUGGAGGAGGUAGGCAUUAGGGGUGUGCCUUUGGGAUAUAUAUUUUAAUCUGGCAAGUGGAGAUACUUUCUGCUUCCUUGGCAUGUCCUGAGCCUCUUUCCUUUACACACUUUUCCGCCAUGAUGUUCUGCCUCACCUUGAGUCCCAAGGAAUGGAGCCGGUUGUCUGUAGACUUAGACCUCUGAAACCGUGAGCCCCCAAAUAAACUUUUC
rnacentral:lncRNA from 1 species